UUGUUUAAAAAUGUUAGCACAUAUACUAAAAUUGGAAUGAUUUAAAGAAGAUCAGUAUGGCCCCUAUGUAAGGAUGGCAUGCAUAUUUGCGAAGCGUUCAUAUAUAUU